UGAUAAUUAGUUUAAUAAAAACAAAUGAUUUCGACUCAUUAGAUUGUAGCUCAUACUGCAAUUAUCAA
rnacentral:tRNA from 1 species